GGUGAAAAGCAAUCCGCUUUUUGCGUCAGGUAAUUUUAAAUAUCAGAAGAAAGGAACCGAAUGGAGACCAGUCGCGAUAUUUUUCAUAAGAAAUUAAGUUUUCUUCUUUCAAGGAAAGUAGGAGAAAACAACGUAACGAAUGCUUAUCGACUGUCGAAGACUAAUUAGGAAACUGUUUUCGAUUCUUGCUGAACGCGUGCCAAUGAGUCAAAUGUCGAUGUUCUGAAAUCCAAUUUCAAUCCAAAUGUUGUUGUUUCUCUUGCAGUAUCUUCAAACUAACAUGGAAAAAUUGUAUCUAACUUUCUGUACAACAUUUUCAACUAUUAGUAUGACCUCAUCAGGGGUAGCAACUUCACAGCCCAGGCUACCAGACCGACAAGAUAGGAAGUCUCGAUAAAAAUUCAAUUUCCUUCCCCCAUUUGAGUUUCGGUGGGCUUACCGUACAUGAGAAAAAUAAAUCCAGUGCUAGGUGCCAGGAUGAGACAAAAAAAUUG